rnacentral:rRNA from 1 species
AUUGAACGCUGGCGGCAGGCCUAACACAUGCAAGUCGAACGGUAACAGGGAUCAGCUUGCUGAUUCGCUGACGAGUGGCGGACGGGUGAGUAAUGUCUGGGAAACUGCCUGAUGGAGGGGGAUAACUACUGGAAACGGUAGCUAAUACCGCAUAACGUCGCAAGACCAAAGAGGGGGACCUUCGGGCCUCUUGCCAUCGGAUGUGCCCAGAUGGGAUUAGCUAGUAGGUGGGGUAACGGCUCACCUAGGCGACGAUCCCUAGCUGGUCCGAGAGGAUGACCAGCCACACUGGAACUGAGACACGGUCCAGACUCCUACGGGAGGCAGCAGUGGGGAAUAUUGCACAAUGGGCGCAAGCCUGAUGCAGCCAUGCCGCGUGUAUGAAGAAGGCCUUCGGGUUGUAAAGUACUUUCAGCGGGGAGGAAGGGAGUAAAGUUAAUACCUUUGCUCAUUGACGUUACCCGCAGAAGAAGCACCGGCUAACUCCGUG